GUGAAUGAUGACGGCCUUAGGGUUGUAAAAUUCUUUCGCCAGGGAUGAUAAUGACAGUACCUGGUAAAGAAGCCCCGGCUAACUUCGUGCCAGCAGCCGCGGUAAUACGAAGGGGGCUAGCGUUGUUCGGAAUUACUGGGCGUAAAGCGCGCGUAGGCGGGCUAUUAAGCCAGAUGUGAAAGCCCGGGGCUCAACCCCGGAAUUGCAUUUGGAACUGGUAGCCUAGAGACCAGGAGAGGUUAGCGGAAUACCGAGUGUAGAGGUGAAAUUCGUAGAUAUUCGGUGGAACACCAGUGGCGAAGGCGGCUAACUGGACUGGUACUGACGCUGAGGCGCGAAAGUGUGGGGAGCAAACAGGAUUAGAUACCCUGGUAGUCCACACCGUAAACGAUGAAUGCUAGUUGUCUGCGCGCAUGCGUGCAGGUGACGCAGCUAACGCAUUAAGCAUUCCGCCUGGGGAGUACGGCCGCAAGGUUAAAACUCAAAGAAAUUGACGGGGGCCCGCACAAGCGGUGGAGCAUGUGGUUUAAUUCGAAGCAACGCGCAGAACCUUACCCGCGUUUGACAUGCCCUGUUUGGUUACCAGAGAUGGUUUCCUUCAUUUAGUUGGCAGGUGCACAGGUGCUGCAUGGCUGUCGUCAGCUCGUGUCGUGAGAUGUUGGGUUAAGUCCCGCAACGAGCGCAACCCUUAUCCUUAGUUGCCAGCACGUUUGGGUGGGCACUCUAAGGAAACUGCCGGUGCUAAGCCGGAGGAAGGCGGGGAUGACGUCAAGUCCUCAUGGCCCUUACACGCGGGGCUACACACGUGCUACAAUGGCAG
rnacentral:rRNA from 1 species